GUUAUAUGGUCAAGCGAUUAAGCGCAUACGGUGGAUGCCUUGGCAGCCAGAGGCGAUGAAGGACGUGAUAGCCUGCGAUAAGCGUUGGCGAGGUGGCAAAUACCCUGCGACCCAACGAUUUCCGAAUGGGGAAACCCACUCACCAUCAGGUGAGUAUCUAUAGGCCAAUACAUAACCUAUAGAGGCAAACCCGGGGAACUGAAACAUCUAAGUACCCGGAGGAAAAGAAA
rnacentral:rRNA from 1 species